CAGUCGCCGCGGUAAUACGUAGGUGGCAAGCGUUGUCCGGAAUUAUUGGGCGUAAAGGGCUCGCAGGCGGUUUCUUAAGUCUGAUGUGAAAGCCCCCGGCUCAACCGGGGAGGGUCAUUGGAAACUGGGAAACUUGAGUGCAGAAGAGGAGAGUGGAAUUCCACGUGUAGCGGUGAAAUGCGUAGAGAUGUGGAGGAACACCAGUGGCGAAGGCGGCUCUCUGGUCUGUAACUGACGCUGAGGAGCAAAGCGUGGGGAGCGAACAGGAUUAGAUACCCGCGUAGUCCCUGUCUCUUAUACA
rnacentral:rRNA from 1 species